rnacentral:rRNA from 1 species
UACGUAGGGUGCGAGCGUUGUCCGGAAUUAUUGGGCGUAAAGAGCUCGUAGGCGGCCUGUCGCGUCGGAUGUGAAAGCCCGGGGCUUAACCCCGGGUCUGAAUUCGAUACGGGCAGGCUAGAGUGUGGUAGGGGAGAUCGGAAUUCCCGGUGUAGCGGUGAAAUGCGCAGAUAUCGGGAGGAACACCGGUGGCGAAGGCGGUUCUCUGGGCCUUACCUGACGCUGAGGAGCGAAAGCGUGGGGAGCGAACAGG